rnacentral:rRNA from 1 species
AGCGAACGCUGGCGGCAGGCCUAAUACAUGCAAGUCGAGCGGUCCCUUCGGGGGCAGCGGCGGACGGGUGAGUAACGCGUGGGAACGUGCCCUUUGGUACGGGACAACUGAGGGAAACUUCAGCUAAUACCGUAUGUGCCCUUCGGGGGAAAGAUUUAUCGCCAUUGGAGCGGCCCGCGUUGGAUUAGGUAGUUGGUGAGGUAAAGGCUCACCAAGCCUACGAUCCAUAGCUGGUCUGAGAGGAUGAUCAGCCACACUGGGACUGAGACACGGCCCAGACUCCUACGGGAGGCAGCAGUAGGGAAUCUUGCGCAAUGGGCGAAAGCCUGACGCAGCCAUGCCGCGUGAAUGAUGAAGGUCUUAGGAUUGUAAAAUUCUUUCACCGGGGACGAUAAUGACGGUACCCGGAGAAGAAGCCCCGGCUAACUUCGUGCCAGCAGCCGCGGUAAUACGAAGGGGGCUAGCGUUGCUCGGAAUUACUGGGCGUAAAGGGAGCGUAGGCGGAUAGUUUAGUCAGAGGUGAAAGCCCAGGGCUCAACCUUGGAAUUGCCUUUGAUACUGGCUAUCUUGAGUAUGGAAGAGGUAUGUGGAACUCCGAGUGUAGAGGUGAAAUUCGUAGAUAUUCGGAAGAACACCAGUGGCGAAGGCGACAUACUGGUCCAUUACUGACGCUGAGGCUCGAAAGCGUGGGGAGCAAACAGG